rnacentral:rRNA from 1 species
ACCAGACUCCUACGGGAGGCAGCAGUAGGGAAUUUUCGGCAAUGGGGGAAACCCUGAUGCAGCGACGCCGCGUGAGUGAAGAAGUAUUUCGGUAUGUAAAGCUCUCUCAGCAGGGAAGAAAAUGACGGUACCUGACUAAGAAGCCCCGGCUAACUACGUGCCAGCAGCCGCGGUAAUACGUAGGGGGCAAGCGUUAUCCGGAUUUACUGGGUGUAAAGGGAGCGUAGACGGCAUGGCAAGUCAGAUGUGAAAGCCCGGGGCUCAACCCCGGGACUGCAUUUGAAACUGUCAGGCUGGAGUGCAGGAGAGGUAAGUGGAGUUCCUAGUGUAGCGGUGAAAUGCGUAGAUAUUAGGAGGAACACCAGUGGCGAAGGCGGCCUGCUGGACGAUGACUGACGUUGAGGCUCGAAAGCGUGGGGAGCAAACAGGAUUAGAUACCCGUGUA